CAUCCAUGAAGAUUUUAUUUUCUUCUUUUUGUUUCUUUCUUGUACGUUUCACAUUCGAAACCCACUUUUAGAAUUUGAAAUUUCCUCCAACUUAUGCGAAGAUCAGUCCCUUCCGAUCGUCUCCUCUUCUCCGAUCUUCCAAUUGAACAAGAAAUGCAAUCAAAGUGCUGGAAUUGAUUUCAGCACUCUCUAUUUUACGCCAUUUUGUACUGUAUUGAAACCCACCUGAAAUGGAUCGUAUUCUCUCAUCCGAACUCCCAACUGAAACCCUCCUCUCCUCUCCUCUCCUUUGAAACCAACUAAAAGUUUCCUCCAUUUUGUACUCCUCCGAAACCCAUUCUCCUUCUCUCCUCCGAAACCCAUUUUCCUCCUCUCCUCCAAAACCCAUUCUCCUCCGGUGCAAGAUCUUCCACUCCACUCCACGACGGUAAGAUAACCUAUGGCAUCGAGCACAUCAUCAUGUAUAGUCGAUGAUUUUUUGGAAUCACCAACAUGUUGGUGUGGCUUGAAAGCCCCAUUGAAGACCUCCCGAACUAACAAAAAUCCUGGGAGAAAAUUUUAUGCAUGCCUAAAAUACAACACGGUAAAACAUCGACAUUCUGAUUAUGUUUUGUAUUGAACUCCAAGUAGUUACUUUACUUACAUCUGUCAAUUAUAACUUUUGUACUGCACUGUAAGGAGAAGCAAAGUGCCAAUUCUUCAUAUGGGCAGAUAUACUUCAACUAGUCGAGGAUAAAAUUCGCUCAAGAGAGAAUGCAGUGAGAAAAAAGGAGGACGAUGUAUUGUUGCACGAGUAUGAAGUUCAGAAAAAAGAAGAUAAACUUGAAGAAAAAGAGAAUGUUCUUUACAAGCAAGAGGAGAAAAUUGGGAAGCAGAUCGUAGAGAAUAGAUGUGCACGCAUCUUUUUGUGUAUGUAUUGGGUGUUAUUGAUUGUAAUCAUUUCUGGUUGGCUUGACCCAUAAAUGUAUUUGGUGGAAGUUAGCUGUAAAUGGAUAGUUGACAUUUAACAUAACGUUCUGUAUUUUGAACAUGACCCAAUGUAUUUUAUGGGCUAGUAGUUGUAAACUUUUGGUAAUGAAAAUGGAUGCUUCCUGAAUGAAAAUUGAUGGUUCCUGGA